UACGUAGGGGCAAGCGUUGUCCGGAAUCAUUUGGGCGUAAAGAGCGUGUAGGCGGCUCGGUAAGUCCGCUUGUAAAAGUCCAGGGCUCAACCCUGGAAAGCCGGUGGAAACUGUCGAGCUAGAGUCCGGAAGAGGCGAGUUGGAAUUUCCUGGUGUAGCGGUGAAAUGCGCAGAUAUCAGGAGGAACACCAAUGGCGAAGGCAGCUCGCUGGGACGGUACUGACGCUGAGACGCGAAAGCGUGGGGAGCAAACAGG
rnacentral:rRNA from 1 species